GUGCCAGUAAGUCAAUCAGUCAUGUGAGGCUCAUUUCCCGAAACAUGCAAGUUACUCUCUAGCUCUCUCUCUCAUCUCCUUUUUUAGCCUUUUGUAUUUUUUUUUCUUGUUUUUUCCUAGUUCUUUUUCAUCUUCUUUCCUAAAUAUUUUCAUUUUUCUCCUGCUUUUAUUUCAUCUCCUCUCACUUACGAACAAUAUUCUAUGUCUCUUCUUACUAAAGGAUUCAAAUUAGGUUUUAUUGUUUCCAUUGAAUUUAUUCUCUGGGUUUUGAUUGAUCUCUUUAAAAAAGUUUAUCUUCUUGGGUUUGAUUCUUUAGAUUUGUGUGUGCAAAUCGGAGUUGAGAUGUGUUUUGCGGCGUAGGUGAAAGUUGUUUCGGAUCUAGAGUUGGAGCAAUUGAUGAAGUCCUUUCCAAAUUAAGAAGCUGCUAAAGAGCGAAGCUUUUUAAGUUGGGUUAUGAUGAGUUCUUGAAGUUGUUGUUCAAUGUGGAUAACUUCUGUAUUAGUUGCUAUUAUAUCGAUUAUCUGAUAUUAUUUAGAUUUCAAUGAAUUUUAUGUUUUAUUUCAUUGUGGAAAAUAUAUUUUUUUGUUAGUUGUUACAAACAUGUACCACAAAUUGUAAAUGAUUAUUAAGUUGUCAAAUGGUUAUAUACAGAAUUUGUUAGUUGAUAUAUUGUUGGGGACAUAAUUUAUUACUGUAUAUUUGAUUUAUUAUUUGACACGUAUUGUGUUAGAAGGUAUACAACUUAGGACCAAAAAUGAGUAUUCACUAUUAUGUAUGUUAUUGAUUCUUUUAACAUCAGAUAAAUAAUUAUAACAUGUUAACAAAACAUGUAGCUGUUACAUGAUUUUUUAGAUGUUUCAUGGUUUUGAUAGAUGACAUGUUAGAUGAUACAUUGUUUUUGGUACAGUUGAUAAGUUAAUUAUUAUCUAAUACAUGAUUUUUAAUCUGAUAUAUGAUUAUUUCACCAAAAAAUGAACAUUUACUAUUAUGUAUAUUAUUGAUUAUUUUAACUCGGGCAUUGUUGUGUUUCAGGUUGAUUGUGACGAGCAUAAGAACGUCUACACUAUAUAUGAUGUUAGCGGAUAUCCCACCCUUAAGUGGUUUCCAGGGUGUUUGGGCAAUUCAUAAUUGUAAACCGAAUUAGCUUUGAAGAAAUCAUGCGGCUAUCAACAUCCGUCUGAAGUGUACAAAAAGCAACCGUCCUCUGCAGAUCUACAAUGUUACAACUAAGCUACAACAUAUUUUCAGCUUUCUACUGUGACGGCAAUACACUAACUGGCUCUUGUACAAUGGAUUAUGGGUAGUAUCGUACUCUUAUGUGACUAAUGGUAUUGUGUUCUCCGGUUACGUCUUGUCGUAUGUAGUUUCCCAAUUUCCUUUUUUCACGAGGCUAUUUUUCCUAAUUGUCUCCAAAUAAAACACUCGUGAUUUUUUCGGAUGCUUUUUUGGGAUGUUUCAAAAUAAAUAUAUGCAGUAUAGAAAUAA